rnacentral:rRNA from 1 species
GUGGGGAAUAUUGGACAAUGGGCGAAAGCCUGAUCCAGCCAUGCCGCGUGUGUGAAGAAGGUCUUCGGAUUGUAAAGCACUUUAAGUUGGGAGGAAGGGUAGUAACCUAAUACGUUGCUACUUUGACGUUACCGACAGAAUAAGCACCGGCUAACUUCGUGCCAGCAGCCGCGGUAAUACGAAGGGUGCAAGCGUUAAUCGGAAUUACUGGGCGUAAAGCGCGCGUAGGUGGUUCAGUAAGUUGGAAGUGAAAUCCCCGGGCUCAACCUGGGAACUGCUUUCAAAACUGCUGAGCUAGAGUACGGUAGAGGGUGGUGGAAUUUCCUGUGUAGCGGUGAAAUGCGUAGAUAUCCGAAAGAACACCAGUGGCGAAGGCGACGAUCUGGGCCUGAACUGACGCUGAGGAGCGAAAGCUAGGGGAGCAAACGGGAUUAGAUACCCCAGUAGUCC